rnacentral:lncRNA from 1 species
GCCUUCCCGUUCGUUCCCGUGACUUCUGGAGUCUUCUAGAUGGUAGAAAAUUGCCCGGCACGUUAAUAUCUCUAUGUAAACCCGACGUGUGGGCCUUUCUUCCGUAUUUCCUGAUAACCUCCUGCAGAAAUAGACAAACACCAAAACUCGUGGAAUUCUGUCAGAUAAAACCCUAAGUCUAGGUGUUGGUUGCAUUUGGAUCCUUUUCCAUGAUUAGUUGACGGUUAAAUAUGAGCAUUAAGGACCGUCAACAUGCUCCCCCAAGCUUAACCUUUGCUCGUCCCUGAGCAAAGAUGAACUCAAGAGUUUCUGCAGUGGUUUCAUGCCUUAAAGGUACACAUGCGUUCAAACAAGAUCUCAUCUCUGGGUUAGGGUAAACUUUUAAGAUGUAAAUUUACUCAGUUUACCUUCCACCAUGGGGCUUGCAACCGUCACUUGUGUCGUGAGCAGUUAAAAGAUAGAACGGUCUAGUCAAGCGUCAUGUCUCUUGUUCUUCGAUUAACUAUAGCUCUAGAGUUUUUGCAGAUUUUCAAAUAAAACUCAGAGAUUCCUUGUAUGACUCUAUCUAGUCUCUCUUUUGUGGUAUUUCUGGAUCCUUACUAAGGCAGUAAUGGUGUAUGCCUUCUCUCAAAGUAUGUGGUAUUUUUGGUAUGAGGCAUAGUGGCAUUGCCUUCUCUCUCACCCUACUCUAAUAAGGUUUUGAUAUCUGGAGCUCAUAGGUGGGAGACAGCUAAUACAUACUUACAAGACAUUUAUUGCAUAGUCAAACCAUGGAUCCAGAAGAACAAGUCAAUAAGUCAAAUCAAGAUGUGCAUGUGUGGCGAAUGAAUGGUGUAUGGUGAUGAUGGUGAUAACAAUGGUGAAAGUCUAAUUCUACUUUUGCUCUUUUGAGGGGAUACAUACCUUCCUUGCUCUUUUGAAACUUUUGAGGAGAAUGAGAUGCUCUAUAUUUUCUUUUUUUUUCUCUCAAGUGGGUAUCUUGUACCCCUAAUUCUACUGUCGGACACUUGUCCAUUUUUACCUCUCGUCUCACUUUUUUUUCUUUCGAGGUUCCGGGCACUUGCCCCUUUUUAUUUCCUCAUAUAUUUUUUUCACUCUCUUUUUUUAGAGCACUCAUCUCUUGAAAUAAUGUAGCAAGUGGUAGUAACCAAGAUAACUUGAGCAUUUAUUUCACAGGGGAAAACAGAAAUGUUUUUGGCUAUUCUCUCCCGGAUUAGGAGGAGAAUAUUUUUGGGUGGUUCUGGAGAUGGAAAUGAGUGGAUGUAUGUGGAUGCGUACUUCCGGAGUAGAAGCAGCAUGUAUGAGUGAACGUGCAAGUGAAUCUUGAUUUUAACCACAUGACAAACUCCUAAGGGUCUACAUAGCUUGACCACACUCAAUUCUCAUAAGUAGUAAAAAGUAAAUGUGUGGUUCAUAGUCUAAUAAGCAUGUAUAUAUGGCUGUGGUAGGAUUUUAAACUCUCAUCAUACAGGAAUUCAUCAUGCAACAUUUUAAAGAUUUUGAAAGAUAAAAUUCUCCAGAAUUCUAGCAUCUCUAGGAACAGAUAAACAGUAGCUCAACCUUCCCAUAUCAUAUCUAUUAAUGACUUAGACUUUAGAUCAAGUACUCUCCCCACAAGUUUAGGUUUAGAGCAAAUCUUAAUUAAUAACAGUCAUGCCUAAACUUGAGAGAGAUUUCAAUUUUGAUAACUAGUCAUGGCAGAGCAACUAUUCAUCAUUUCUAUGUGAGAGCUUAUCAUGAGGGUUCAUAGCAAACUUUAUUUAUUUAUUUAUUUAGCAAACUAAGCAAAGUUAUAUAUAUAAGCACAAAAUCUUUUAUUUGGGUUUAUAUGAUUAUGCAUCUUUUUAUUAUUAGAGUAAAGUAUAAACGUAAGUAGAAUACUUAGCUAGAUAAAUGGGGGUGCUCUCCCCCAAGCUGGAUUUUGACGUAAUUUCUCCUGAUGUAGCUAGCAGGUGGUGGAGGUGUAUUUGAAUGUCAGCAGCACCCUGACAGCGAUUAGGAUGUCCUCCGUCAGCUAGUCUUCUUUGAUCCAUGAAUUCUGUGGAGCUCAAAUAGACAACAAAGCUUUGUGGAACUGGUUAAGUGUUAUCAUAAAUAUCUAGCCUUUGUCAUGUUGAGCCUCCUCAAUAAAUGUUACUCUUUUUAGCAGGAUCAUAAAUCUAUUUUUAUAAUUUUAUUUUUAUAGAACAGGAAUAUAUUUAUUUUAUUUUUAUGCCACCACAGUGAAUGUACUUAUGGGUUUUAUGCCAUGAGCAUACUCACAUGGGGCUUACUAUUUUUAACAUUUUUAUUUUCUUUUCAAGAUGAUAUGAACCUGAUUAACUAAGCAAACUAUUUUAAGUAAUUGAAAGGAAAAAGAUAACUACCAAGUUUACCUCUUGGCAAGGCGUUCGGUGUUUUUAAGUCCUCCGAAAGGGACUCUCCAUUUUCUCAGUUGUCCUCGGACUCGCUGGAUGGCGUAGUCGGUGAUUCCGACGGUGCCUGCUCUUUGUGUAUAACUAUCUUCUCUCUCCACACCUGACUCGGUGCUACGAUCUCCUCAGGAUAGUUCUGUUGAAGUUGUAUGUCUUCAGACCUUACUACUUUUCCUUCAUAGUCUGCCCAUCCGUCCUUGAUGAUUUGCCUCCUCUGGUUGCGGUUGCGUCGUCUUCUUCUUGUCCUGACCUGCUUAGAGUCUUCAACUAUAUAGUUAAGGUCAGUAAAAUAGCAGCGUACCUUCUCAGAGGGGAAGUAAAUGUGGACUUCUCCGGUUCCAGUGUAGAUGAUUGCUUUAAUGGUGCUGAGGAACGGUCUCCCAAGGAUGAUGGGUGGAUCAUACUCGUCUUCUCUCAUGUCAAUAACCUGAAAGUCUGUAUGGACAAAAUGAUCGUCUAUUUUGACAGGGACAUCAGUUACUAUACCUUCAACCUUUCGGAAUAUCUGAUCUGACAUCUGGAGCUGAAUGUAUGUUGGUUUUAGGGGUAUGGUUCCGAACAGGAGCUGAUAGGUGACUGCGGCCAUUAUGUUGACGCCUGACCCGGUGUCACAAAGCGUCUUCUGGAAGUUAUAUCUAUUAAUGGAGCACUGGAUGCUUGGCAUACCUAGGUCAUCCUUUUUGGUCAAGAACGGUGACUUAAGUCAACGGUCUUGACCUCCUUGAACUGCAGUGACCAUCUUAGCUGACUUGGUCCACAUUUGCUUUUUCAUGUUUCUUGGUUCAUGUCGGGAUUGCUCUGAGACUUGUGUAGUCUUGUUCUUGAAGGAAAACGUCUCCUUCCUCCCCUUGAUGUAGAAACUAAUCUUGGCAGCACUAGCGUAGAUGACAGCUCCUGAGGUGUUCAGGAAUUGCCUCCCUAAGAUGACGGGUGCCCUCUCAUCAGUAUUAGUCUCUAUUACCAAGAAGUCUCCUGGGGCGUACAAGGUACCAACUCGGACGUAGAGGUUCUUCAAUACUCCCUUUGGGAAACUUAGCGUACGAUCUGCAAGCUGCAAACACAUGGCUGUUUCUAAUAAAGGAUGUGUAAAGUAUUUUUCAUAGAGUACCCUGGGCAUAAUGUUGACGCUGGAGCCACAGUCGCAGAGUGCUUCUAGGUAGUCCACCAUACCGAUGGAGAUCGGGAUGACGGGGCGUCUUGAAUUGCCUCUCUUAACCGGCAGAAGGUCAGUAAUUACUUCCACAACGGGGUUACUCCAGUAGUUACGUCCUCAAGCAUCUCAGGGCAGUGAUUGCCUGAGUGUCCAGUAUCUCCAGUGUUUGUGCUCAUAGAUCCAGGUUCUUCACUUGGUGGAGUCUGGGAGUUAUAAAACUCCUUCAUAUUUUGCUCGAAGUGUACCUGCUCAUAGAGACAAGGCAGAGAUCAAGUGCAUGGGCCCUGUUGGUGGAAAACACCAACAGAACCAAAAGUGUAUUUGUUCUUCUCUAACCUUAAGCAUAGUGAGCAAGACAAAGUUGAUGAAUAAUAAGAUCAUGAGCAUAACCUUUAAAACAUUUGUCAGAUCUGAUCGCUCAACCUAAUGGAAAGAUAAUCUAUCUAUACUUAUGUUUUUUAUAUAUAUAUCUUCUAAAGAUUGCGUGUGCAACAUUUUAGUUCAUAUGAUUAGGAGUGUGGGAUCACAAAGGUGAAAGGACUAAACAUAUUGAAUUGAUUGGGUUGGUUAGUCUAGAGUUGUAAAUCAUACAUGUUUGUCUCUUUUAUUCAUGUGAACGCCAGAACCAAGGAGAAGCUUAUAGAAGUGAUAGUCAAGUACCUUGAGAUGUUACCUUACUUGAAGAGUGAUGGUACAGUAUCACCUUGUGGAAGCUUUCCUUUCUUAGUGGUUGUGCAUCGUGUUUGUGGCACCCUCCAUGGAUCAUCUCUUGUGAGCUAUGCCUUCCUUGUGUAAAUUGUUAAUCUUCAUGUGUCUCUCUCUUUGUCUCCAAUGUGAGUUUAUCUCAGGACUUCCCAGGUCGAUAUUGAAAGUUUUCCUGCAGGGUUAGUCCAACAAAAUAUCCAAUAUCUACUAUAGCAUACUAUCGGCUCAAAAAUCAACCUAGACACCAUGUCUAAUUUGAUUUAGGAGGGCAUUUUAACCUAAGCAUCAUGCUUAAUUUAAAAUCCCUUGGAAAUAAGAUCAUCAUUCUUAAACUAAGCACCAUGCUUAAUUAAGAGAUAAAUGACUCUAUUCCAAACCUAGACAUAUACUAAAGCAAAUAAAGGUAUCAUGAGAGCAUUUAUAGAGAUCUACUCAAGUGGAGAUGAAGUAGUGUGAUUAGUAUUUAACUAAUUGAGCAUGUCUCAAAGGUAGGGACAACCAACAUAGCAACAUGGCAAAGGAUGUUUUUAUGUAAAGUACUCCCCCAAGGUUGAAUUUUGCAAAAUUCAAGUUUGGAUGAAUUUAAUUCAAUGUUGUAUGAUGAUUGGUUGGACAUACCUUGUGCUUGUCAUUCAUCCGAUCUUCUUGCUCCAAUCCUGGAAAGGUUAGUGACAAGAAUACCCGAAGGAAUUUUUUACAAUUAUCCUUAUAUGCUCAAUACACAAGGUAAUGUUGCAAAUAAUUAAAAGCUCAUGUUACGAUCUGAUUAGUGCUUAUUUUAGGACACUAAGCUUGUCCUUUGGAAACCAUCAAUUUAUGUCGGCGAAGUGGUUUCCCCUCCAACGCUGACCAAUAUCAAGAUCAAAUCAACGAGAUCUGCAAUAUUUAUUAUAGACAUAUGUAUCGACAACCGCCCUUUUAAAGUUUUCAUAAAUAGAAAGAAUGAGGGGGUUGGAGAUCUCGAAUGUGGUGAUGUUAGAGAGACCAAAAGAUUGGGAAGAUGUUGCAUAUGAGCAUGGAGUAAAUGAAGUGGCUAUGAAAUAAAUUCCAUGCUCAUUAAUGCUUAGAGUGAAAUCCAUGUGGUGUGGUGAAAAUGGUAAGGUGAGUGUGGUAAAAAAGAAAAAGAAAAAUGAUACACGGACGACUUGGUUCAAAACUAGCACAGCUACCGUUCCCCGGCAACGGCGCCAGAGAGCUUGUUGGGUAUUUUAAACGCAAACAGAAAAAUCCGCAAGCACACGGAUACCGAUUUAGUUUUCACCCGAGAGUAUUCCAGAGUAUCGAUUUUCCACAGGGAACGUGAGUGUACUAAUUAAGAUUCAAGAUUGCCCAAGGAUAACUAUAUAAUUAUUUUUGGUGGGAAGAGAGGAAGUUUCCUGAGAGUUCUCUAAUUGAUCUAAGAAUCAAGAAUUACUUCAAGAUUAUCUAUUUCGGGACAUCAGAACACUAACCACAGAAAGAGAUGAGAAGGGGGCUAGGAAGCUCUGACUACGGUCCUACAAACACCGAUCCGAACGAGGUGGAAUACGUCGACCGUUAGGGCUGUCACUACCCUAGGGCUACCACAACAAUCCGCAGGAUUGGGUGCAAUUCUAGGUAAUUGUAAGACUAAACACCACGUCUAAUCUAUUAAAUACUACUCUAGCGUUAUAAAGACUAGAGCACUUGAUGCAAGCGAGAAUCCAAUAAAUAACUUGAAUGUAAAUAAAAGUAAUUAAAGAACUCAGGAAUUAUGAAUUGAAGAACCUGGAGAACGAUGAAGAACGAACCAGUUGCUGCAAAAAUACAAUGUUGUGGAAGAUUCGACAGAUCCGGCUCCUCCUCCGCUCUCCUCUUCUCUCUCUCUAUUUUCUAGAUUACAACUAGAACGAACUAGAACUAGAACUAGAAGAACUAGAACUAGAACUAGAUGAACUAGAACUAGAACUAGAUGAACUAGAGGUAGAACUAGAUGAACUAGAGGGAUCCUCUCUACUUGGAUGACGAAUUGAAACCCUAGCUUUGAUUCUGUAGAAGAGGUAUGCUCUCCAGGGGCCAGGGAGCCUUGCUUAUAUAAUCUUUUCAAAUGAAUCUGGGCCGUCGGAUCAAACCGACAUUAAUCGCAUGGUUUUCCUUGAUCCCUUAGGUCGGUGGAGCACGAUCCCGAAAGAGAGUCCAGAUUGGACUCAGAAGGUGGGCGGGCACCCAGGAGAGUAGGGCGGGCGCCCUGCCUCCGAGCCCGAUCGCCUUCCCGUUCGUUCCCGUGACUUCUGGAGUCUUCUAGAUGGUAGAAAAUUGCCCGGCACGUUAAUAUCUCUAUGUAAACCCGACGUGUGGGCCUUUCUUCCGUAUUUCCUGAUAACCUCCUGCAGAAAUAGACAAACACCAAAACUCGUGGAAUUCUGUCAGAUAAAACCCUAAGUCUGGGUGUUGGUUGCAUUUGGAUCCUUUUCCAUGAUUAGUUCAUGGUUAAAUGUGAGCAUUAAGGACCAUCAACAUGCUCCCCCAAGCUUAACCUUUGCUCGUCCCUGAGCAAAGAUGAACUCAAGAGUUUCUGCAGUGGUUUCAUGCCGUAAAGGUGCACAUGCGUUCAAACAAGAUCUCAUCUCUGGGUUAGGUUAAACUUUUAAGAUGUAAAUUUACUCAUUUUACCUUCCACCAUGGGGCUUGCAACCGUCACUUGUGUCUUGAGCAGUUAAAAGAUAGAACGGUCUAGUCAAGCGCCCUGUCUCUUGUUCUUCGAUUAACUAUAGCUCUGGAGUUUUUGCAGAUUUUCAAAUAAAACUCAGAGAUUCCUUGUAUGACUCUCUCUAGUCUCUCUUUUGUGCUAUUUCUGGAUCCUUACUAAGGCAGUAAUGGUGUAUGUCUUCUCUCAAAGUAUGUGGUAUUUUUGGUAUGAGGCAUAGUGGCAUUGCCUUCUCUCUCACCCUACUCUAAUAAGGUUUUGAUAUCUGGAGCUCAUAGGUGGGAGACAUCUAAUACAUACUUACAAGACAUUUAUUGCAUAGUCAAACCAUGGAUCCAGAAGAACAAGUCAAUAAGUCAAAUCAAGAUGUGCAUGUGUGGCGAAUGAAUGGUGUAUGGUGAUGAUGGUGAUAACAAUGGUGAAAGUCUAAUUCUACUUUUGUACUUUUGAGGGGAUACAUAGCUUCCUUGCUCUUUUGAAACUUUUGAGGAGAAUGAGAUGCUCUAUAUUUUCUUUUUCUUUUCUCUUAGGUGGGUAUCUUAUACCCCUAAUUCUACUGUCGGACACUUGUCCAUUUUUACCUCUUGUCUCACUUUUUUUCUUUCGAGGUUCCGGGCACUUGCCCCUUUUUAUUUCCUCGUAUCUUUUUUUCCCUCUCUUUUUUUUAGAGCACUCAUCUCUUGAAAUAAUAUAGCAAGUGGUAGUAACCAAGAUAACUUGAGCAUUUAUUUCACAGGGGAAAACAGAAAUGUUUUUGGCUAUUCUCUCCCGGAUUAGGAGUAGAAUAUUUUUGGGUGGUUCUGGAGAUGGAAAUGAGUGGAUGUAUGUGGAUGCGUACUUUCGGAGUAGAAGCAGCAUGUAUGAGUGAACGUGCAAGUGAAUCUUGAUUUUAACCACAUGACAAGCUCCUAAGGGUCUACAUAGUUUGACCACACUCAAUGCUCAUAAGUAGUAAAAAGUAAAUGUGUGGUUCAUAGUCUAAUAAGCAUGUAUAUAUGGCUGUGGUAGGAUUUUAAACUCUCAUCAUACAGGAACUCAUCAUGCAACAUUUUAAAGAUUUUGAAAGAUAAAAUUCUCCAGAAUUCUAGCAUCCCUAGGAACAGAUAAACAGUAGCUCAACCUUCCCAUAUCAUAUCUAUUAACGACUUAGACUUUAGAUCAAGUACUCUCCCCACAAGUUCAGGUUUAGAGCAAAUCUUAAUUAAUAACAGUCAUGCCUAAACUUGAGAGAGAUUUCAUUUUUGAUAACUAGUCAUGGCAGAGCAACUAUUCAUCAUUUCCAUGUGAGAGCUUAUCAUGAGGGUUCAUAGCAAACUUUAUUUAUUUAUUUAUUUAGCAAACUAAGCAAAGAUAUAUAUAUAAGCACAAAAUCUUUUAUUUGCGUUUAUAUGAUUAUGCAUCUUUUUAUUAUUAGAGUAAAGUAUAAAUGUGAGUAGAAUACUUAGCUGGAUAAAUGAGGGUGCUCUCCCCAAGCUGGAUUUUGACGUAAUUUCUCUUGAUGUAGCUAGCAGGUGGUGGAGGUGUAUUUGAAUGUCAGCAGCACCCUCAACCCUAAACCCUAAACC